UGCAGAUGAGACACAAAGAGUUUGGGUCACUGCCGACAUCACACCGCUCACGGUGGUGCAGCCUCAGAUCCCACUGUCAGACUCUGGAGUCUGCUUCUUCACCACCAAGCCAUAAUUUCUGUCUGUGACAAGCAAGGAAUGAAAAAAAGAUGAUGGCCAAGUGCUGUAUUAAAAUCCCAUUAGAAACGCCGGGAGAAAUUUAUGGCCCCAAUGUCUUUUAUCUGACAGGUAUCAGUUCGCAGUUCCCAUGUGAUCCAUCAGGCUCUGAGCAUGAAUUUUAAUGGGCUCAGAACCACUUCUCUUCCCUGAGGUCACUUGCUUUCAGAGUGAAUCUUCCACAAACUGAUUGGAACCUGAAGAA
rnacentral:lncRNA from 1 species